rnacentral:rRNA from 1 species
UACGUAGGCAGCAAGCGUUGUUCGGAAUUACUGGGCGUAAAGAGUGUGUAGGCGGUGCUCUAAGUCUGUUGUGAAAUCUCCCGGCUUAACUGGGAGGGUGCGGCGGAAACUGGAAUGCUAGAGGAUGGGAGAGGUAAGCGGAAUUCCUGGUGUAGCGGUGAAAUGCGUAGAUAUCAGGAGGAACACCUGUGGUGUAGACAGCUCUCUGGCUUCACCCUGACGCUGAGGCGCGAAAGCGUGGGGAGCGAACGGG